rnacentral:rRNA from 1 species
GAACACCUUGGAGAAAAGAGAGGUCCUGGUCGUUUUCUGACGCUGAGACGGGAAAGAUAGGGGAGGGGCAGGGAGUAUAUGCUCCCGUAGUAGUAGCUGCAUCGAUGGGCAGUAGGUAGGGGUCUCCCCGAUGGGCUCUCUUCCGUAGGGAAACGGUGAAGUGCCCCGCCUGGGGAGUAUGGUUGCAAGGAUGAAACUCAAAGGAAUUGACGGGGGCUCACACAAGCGGUGGAGCAUGUGGCUUAAUUUGAGGGUACGCGAAGAACCUUAUCCUGGGCUUGACAUGCAUGGAUUAGCCGGCGGAAACACCGGUGUCACCCCAAGGUGGAACAUGCACAGGUGCUGCAUGGCUGUUGUCAGCUCGUGCCGUGAGGUGUUGGGUUAAGUCCCGUAACGAGCGAAACCCCUGUGAUCAGUUGCCAGCGAGUCAAGGCGGGGACUAUGAUCAGUCCGCCGGCGUUAAGCCGGAGGAAGGCGGGGAUGACGUCAAGUCAUCAUGGCCCUUAUGCCCAGGGCUGCACACGUGCUACAAUGGGACGGACAGAGCGUUGCCAGGCCGCGAGGCCGCUCCAAUAGCAAAAAUCGUCCCCCAGUUCGGAUUGCGGGAUGCAACCCGCCCGCACGAAGCUGGAAUCGAUAGUAAUCUCCGAUCAGCACUGCGGCGGUGAAUGUGUUCCUGAGCCUCGUACACACCGCCCGUCAAGCCACCAAAGCGGGGGGCAUUCGAAGUCGUCGGAGCCGCAAGGCAGGCGCUGAAGAUGAAACCCGUGAUGGGGAUUAAGUCGUAACAAGGUAACC